rnacentral:tRNA from 1 species
CAUUAGAUGGCUGAAUGCAAGCAUUGGUCUCUUAAACCAUAUUAUAGUAACCUAGCAAUUACUUCUAAUGA